rnacentral:misc_RNA from 1 species
AAGUCGUAACAAGGUUUCCGUAGGUGAACCUGCGGAAGGAUCAUUAAUGAAGUAACAGGGUGCUCUCACGAGACCCAACCUCUCAUUUUAUCACACUGUGUACCAAACUUUUUUUUUUAACGCAUCAGUUCAUGAAUGUCAAUCAAGCUUUUACAGCUUAAAUAAUCAAAAACAAAACUUUCAGCAACGGAUCUCUUGGCUCUC